UAAUUGGACCUGUUGAUAAAUUC
rnacentral:piRNA from 1 species